AGUGUGUCUCUCUUGCAGAUAUUUUCUGUGACAGAAAGAAGACAAAAAUGUUAGUACCAUCCAUGAAACGUUGAGAAAAACAUAUCUUGAAGAUAAAUGCUACCACAGAACUAACAUUCAAAUUCCUAGUAGUCAAAUAGAUGCAAAAGCUAAGACUGUAAAAAAUUAAAAACCACGUAGAGAAAAGAAAAAUAAUAAAAAUGAAACCUGCUGCCCUCGAUGUGCUCUGAAAUGUACAGUUUGCACUUGCUUCCUCUCGAUAGAAUCGACAGCCGCUAUAUACAUUGUCUGUCUAAUAUCCACUUCCGGACUAUUUAAGGGAAAUCCAAGUUGACAUAGGUUCGCAUCCAUAGAAAAUGAAGACACAUCUGACUGAGAAGGAGAAAUAUCCAUGCUGCACGCGGUGUAGAGCCGCAGUAAUCCGAGCAAAAUCAUCGCUUUUAGGAAAGAAGUACUACUUAUUGGGGAAUGACCACACUUGGUUUCCACCAUUCAAGGGGCGGUGGGCAGGUGCUCCUAGAGAAGCCCGCAUUAUUAAUGCAAGCAGCGGAUGUUCUCUUAAGGCAUUGGCCAUUUUAGUUGGCACCAUGGACCUUCAAAUAUGGAUUCGGUUAGCACUUUCUCAAACUAGCGGAAUAAGUUUCCAAUGGUAGAGUGAAAAUAAAAGCUUGUGAACAAUCUUUGAACCUAUCAAAUUCAUAUCCAUAUAAUGAAAUUUUGAAAAUUUCACAUCCAACUUUAUGAUAAAUUUCUCCAAUAUAACAAUUACAAUGAUACAAACAGGUUUAGGCCUAUAUGCUAAUAAUAUGAAUUACACUUCUAAUGUACAAACCAAAACAUCGAACAAGACAUGCUCCAUUAGACUCUUCCUAGCAAGUUAAGACCAAUACAAAAUCAAACUGGAUGAACUGUAGAUUAUAUUAAGAAAAACCAAGUAUGAUCAAGUAACUUAUUGUCUAUGAAAACAAGUACAAUACAAUUAUGAUCAGGACCAGCAAUGGGCCCCCAUUGUGGACUGUGGGAUGGUUCCGAUUAGUCGCUCAAUGGGUCCUAUAUUGAGUUACAAAAUAAAAAAAGAGAAAAACGUAUGAUCAAGGUAAUUGCAUUUGUUAUAGUUAAUCGAGCAAACAAAGUCUACGAGCUCAAGUCCUAGUUCAGAGCUGCCAAUAGUCGUUAAAGUGCAAAGGAAUAUUACCCAGGAAUCGCUUUCUGAAAAAUGUACUGCUGGCAAAGAAGUAUAAUUAAGUAUAUAAAAAAAUGUAUAUUGACAAACAAGUUAUAUAGAAUGCCAAUAGUACUAACUUAAAUUUCUCAUAAAAAAAGAUAAAUGUUAUGCAAUUUAAACCUCAGGACCGAAUAUGACGGGGUCAUUGAGUUUGAAAUUUCUGGCAUAUAAUAUCUAAUUAUGGAUUCAAAACAUAUACUGUGCAUUUCCGGAUCCAUGGACAUGAUAGUUAAACCAUAAGUUCAAUCCUCAACACUAUUAUGUACUCUAGGUCUUAAUUCAAUAGAUGGAGCUACAUUCACAACAUAUACGUAGCUAGUUAUUUUAAUACAAUUACCAAAAAUAAGGGCGGGUUAAGGUUUUCAAAAAGGUUUAUUCUAUUAUAAAUUGAUUUCUUGUGAACUUGUCUUCAUGCAAGGUGGUCCUAUGUUGCUCUAAAGGACAAGAUAAGGGACUGAGAUUGAAAUCCAAAACAAAAAUUUAAAUACAGAAGACAAGAUUUUACAAUUACGGAAAAACAAAACUAACAAAUCAUAAAAUACAAGAAAAACAACAUUUUCCGAACAAGGAAAAUACAAAUUCUUAAAUCAAAAUGCCUAAAAUAUUUUUAAAAAUAAUGGACAAGAACCUUUAAGUUAUUCAAUCAGUUACAGUGGCAAAACACAACACAACAUCAAACUAAGGCUAUGUUUGGUCCUGGAUUUGUAGAGGGCUUUAUCAAUGGAAAAGAAAAUUAUAGGAAAACGAAUUAAGAAAUUUAAAUUGGAAUUCAUAUCGGCCUUUCUUCACUAGUAAAUCCCUCACAAUCAUUGAUUGAUAAAAGAAUAAAAAUUACCAAAAAUAAAAAGAAAGCAUCAUUGAAGUAAUGAAUAUAAGAAAAAGAAGAAAGAAAUCAGAUAAAGAAAAACCAUACAAAACAAAUCAAUACCCCCAAUAAAACAAAAUUAAAGCAUAAUCAAAAGUAAAGCUACCAAAAAUAAAGAAGAACAAUAACGUAGGUACUAUAAAAAAAAGAAAGAAAAAAAAAGAGAAACAAAAAAGAACAAAUCCUUAAAAAAAACAAUUCACAAACAAAAUCAAAACCAAUACACAAUUAGCGAUCUCACCAAUUACAUAAAUUCAUACCAUAAUCGACGACCCCAAACCCAAGCUUCGUGGCCCAUUCUGAGACCCGUGCCUCUGAUUCGUUACAUUGCUAGCGCCGGCCCGCUCUUGGCCAUAUGUUGAGGCACCGUCGUGGAAUCUUCCCAUGAUUUUCCGACGACGAAGACGCUUGUCGCUUCGCCAAAGAAGACGAAACAGAGGAUCUCGAUUCUGGGUCGACACAUUUUCUCAGUCCUAACCCAAAUCAAAAAUUUUUUUAUUUUACCCGGUUAAACAAGUGAUCGGUUUGGCCUUGUUCUUGCUCGAAAAUUGAGCAAGAAAGCACGGAAAAUUGAUGUAUUGAUCGCAAGAGUGACGCGGGAAGAGAAAGAGACUGAUUUUAUUGUCGAAGAUUAGGGUUUUUGAAUUAGGGCUUUUUCUGGGUUUCUUGAAGUGAAUCGAGAGCGAGAGAGAGUAGUGAAGUCAAGCAGGAGCAGAAGGCGGUAAUGACAUGGUAGUUUGAGAGAGAGAGAGAGAGAGAGAGAGAGAGAGAGAGAGAGAGAGAGAGAGAGAGAGAGAGAGAGAGAGAGAGAGAGAGAGGCGUUGGUAUUUAAACAUUUAUUUAUGCUUUUGAGGCGGGCAAAGGGCGUGAUUUGAAUUGAGAAAUGAUCGUGACCGUUGGAUUGACUAGGUAAUCGUUAGGAGCGGAUACAGAGUGGGCCCCACUGACUUCUUCUUUUUUGAAUUUGAGUUCAAAAUUCUAACGGUGAAUGACCAUCCGAUUAACGGCUGCCACGGUGUGCGUUUGUCCGUGCUUUGAAGAAACUAGAGUGGUCAUCGUUUUACAUGAGCCACAACCUGUUAUUGUAGCCCUUACCUUGAAUUCGAAUUUGAACGUUAUGUAGAUUUUGUCUGUAGUGUGUGACAUGAAACUAAUACCCACAUUAUCCUCGCGCCCAACCACCAAUUUUGUAAUUGGAAAAUGGAAAUGAUAACCAAAAAAAAUCAUCUUUUUAGGAGAUGUUAUAUUUUAAGGAUAUUAUAAUAUUGUGUUAUCCUUUAAAACGUCGUGUAAAUGGUACGUAGGGUGGAAAGUAUCUAUGAAAUGUGCAAAUUUGCUCAAAAUCCAAAACGUGGAUCUCGUGUAUGGAUAUUGAUUCCUAACUUUAAUAUUAGGAGACUUUGGUAAUGCUUAAAAAGCUAAGUUUUUUUUAAAUUUAGUAUCAAAAAGGUCAAGAGUUUUGGCAUUUUUUGCUUUGUGACUUUACUUUAGAUAAAAUUAAAAAAAAAUAAAAAACCAAACAAAAAAUCCAACUCUAAUUUUUUGUAUGCUUAAAAGUCAAUUUUUUUUAAAUUUACUAACAAAAAGGUCAAGAAUUUUUGACAUUUUUUGCUUUGUGACUUUACUUUACUUUAUAAGGCUAAAAUUUAAAAACAAAAAAACAAGUAUAAUUGAUUUUUUUUACUUAUUUUAAGUAAAAAAAUAAAAAAAAAUAAAAAAAUGCUGUCAAACGAAGCCUCAGUCACAAUAUUGUUAUUGCUCAUGACUUCCAUCAUAAGAGCAAUCGCUAUCAAGUUAUUUUGUUUGGGGAAAUCGGUUAGCUAAUUGUUGAAAACAGCCCUCCAAGCAUCGCCGCUCCCUUGCCAAUUUGGUUUUGAGCUAUAAUUCUUGGCCAUUCUUGGCGAAGUACUGUAGCUGCUUGUUUCAACAAGUUUAUUCGUCGGAAGAACCAUGGUGACGUGAUUUCCGAUGAAACUCACUCUUCGAAUCCCCAGCUUCACCCAAAUUAUUCGAUACGGGCCAAACGAACCAUGGUGUGCCAGUGGAUGGCCUGAGUGUGGGUGAAAGGAUUGGAUGGACCUCACACCCAGUCAAUCCAAAUGCAAUACCUCAUAAGUAUGCAUUGGAGUGAACGAUGAUUAACCCAUAGCAUUACCUAUUUUUCAAACAGGCACAACCUUUUUCUCCACGCAGCUCUGGUACUAUCCAGGAAGAUACCGAGUUCUCUUCGAGGCAGAAACGUAAGCCACAAUAUAAGACUAAAUAGAUAUUUCUCCAUUUGAUGCAAAAUUUAGAUAUUCCAUAGGAGGCGGCUGUUUGUUCAGCCAACAACCUCUACAUGACAACUUAGAUAAAUGCAAGGAUCUCAACCUCAAUGGUGCUUCUUUUCUUCUCAAGGUAUAAGUCGCACUAUUUCAUUACACAUAAAAAAUAUAUAACUACACUGCAACGGGGAAAAUAUCCCCUAACCGGUUUCUAAUACAUGGAUCUCAUCACCAUGCUGGCUUUAAAAUUACAUUAGCUCUUCUGUUAGUGAUAAUUCAUUUUUUCACUUCCACUUCCUUUAUUUUAAAUUUCUAACAAUAUCAUUGAUUUUCAUCAAAACCCAUCGAUGGUCCGGAACUCCUAACAAAAAAUUAAUUAUUGAUGAUUGAGAAUGUGUUGGGAAAAAUCUAGCUCCACCAUUUAUGCGAUUGCAUUACCAGCCUCAGGACAAUGUUCCACUACACAGGCACUUGUGCUGGACAAUUAAUCAUGCAGGUGGGGAAUAAUUUCUUGCAAUUUUAUUAUUUCUUUUAAUUAAGUAAAUAUUUGAUCCAAGAUUAUUAAUGAGUUAAUUCGUGGUACAAUUUUUAGCGUUUCUUGGAUCUUAAGAUGAGAAAAUGGAUGAGGAACCUAAUGACCAGGUCCAUUGCCAUCACACCUAGUCUCAUUGUCUCAAUCAUCGGUGAUCGUGGCUGUUGACCGGCUAAUCCUCAUUGCAUCGGUUAGUUACUCGUCGAAUACUAAAUAAAAUUUAUAUUUAUAUUUAUUGUAAUUUAUAAUUGAUCAUUUUUUUUGUUAAAUUGGUUUGGUAGAUGAUACUAUCAUUGAAAUUCUAUUUGCUCUCAUCCCACUCCGAAAUGCAGUAGUAGUACACAAGAGGGGGCCACACAAGAAUUCAAUAUAUGUGAGUUGCAAUCUCAUUAUUAUUUUACCUUUGCAUUUAAUUUUUUCUUCUUCAUCUAGCUUCUAAUCUACACUAGAUUUUGAUUUUGCCUUCAGUAAGAAAGUGUGUGAUUUUUCACACAUUAUUUGUUCAAUGCAUUUCCUUUUUCGUCUUAAUUAAUAGGUAAAAUUACUCAAAUACUUUCGUAUUUAUAUUUUUUAAAUUAUUUCUGGCUCAAAUAUUUUAACUACAUAGAAGAAUAUUUAGAUAAAUUCACAUAAUAAUAAUAAGAAAAAAAAAGAGUACAGUUAGAGAAAAUGGGAUGUAAAAACCAUCUUCCUUAAAAUUUAAUUUCAUUUACCACUUAAAAAUGUAGAUUAUCAUCGUGUCGUGGAUUUUGGGAUUGGGAAUUAUCGGCAUAAACAUCUAUUACCUAAGCACUGGCCUCAUCGGUUAGAUAAUUCAUAUCAAUUUAUCUAAAGUUGCAAUUGUUUCCAUCGCAAUAAUAGUGUUCCCCACUCAUGGCUACUAUAUUACAUCAUCGCGGUGAUAUACUUGCUGUUUUGAAAAGACACCGUUGUGACAUUCAGCGAGCCCCUGAAGCACUUCCCCGAAAGCUCAAACCAGGAUGGAGACGGGCACGCUAGAUCCGAGGAAGGCCGUGGUACGUACAGGAGGACCUGGCCGAAGUCCCAUUGCCCCAGAAGGGGUAGUUAUGGAAAGUCCAUUGUUGUAAUUGUAACUUGUUUGCAGCAAACAAGUCUUCCGUUUAUGCAUCAUCUCAAAUUCUCAAUUGAUUCUAACGAAAAAGCAAAACUAGUCUAUACAGUACCUCCAACAAAAGUUUCAAAGAUAUUCAUUUGUGAAUUAGUUGCUCUGGGAUCACUAGGUGGAUGCAAUUUUUGGUUGGAAUAAAUUGCAUUACAAGUUAGGUUAUUUUUUUAGUAAUUUUUUUUAGUUAAAAUUUUGCAAAUUUAGAAUUCAUCUUUGUAGAAGAAUAUUAACAAGAUUUAAAUGCAAAUUUACAAAAAAACACUAAAAUUCAAAUUAAUCCAAAUGGAUUUUCAACAAUAAUCCAUUUUUUUUUUGUAGUUUCCAAUACUUCGUGAAAGAAGUCUUGCUUCCAAUCUUAAUCUCAUUAAAAUUUGAUCAAAUAUGAAUAAAAAAUGACAAAUUUCACUUGAUAAAAUUAUUUUUUUAUGAUUUAUUUGUGAAAAAUUAUAGGGUAAACUACAAUUUGCCCCCUCAAAGUAUUGAGUGAUUCUCACUUUGCCCUUUACUAAUAAUGUUUCCACUUGAACCCGUACUUAUUUAACCGUUGCAAUCAACCCCAACAUCCAACACCCAUCUACAAAGUAGACGAAAAUUGCACGCUACGUGGUGAUCCAACUCGACCUGAUUCAAAGGCUUGUGACUCCAAUGCCUCAAUUUUGAUGAUAACAAAAUAAUAUUUUAGUGUGCAGAUGAUUGUUUUACUUAAUUAUCAUAAAUCAUCCAAAUUGAUGAGAAGAAUUAAUGAAGUUUGGCAAAGAUGAACUUUUGGGGGCCACAAGAACAAGACCCGAAAAGAAAGAAGUUACACAUGAUCAAGAGGUGUGUCGGCACGGGCACAUGAAGACAACAAGUAGACUUAAAUCUGGAAUAAGUGUCAACACAUCGGAUUUGAGAAGAGUCGACACAGGGGGACAGUAGCAAUCUAAACUUGAAAGGUUUCACAGACUUAGAAGUGUCAACACACGAAUAUAGUGUACAAAGAAUUAAUUCUGGAGGGAAGGUGUAGACACAUGGACUUAAAGUAUCGACACAUAAAGACAGUAGGAAAACAUAAAAAUGAAGGCGACAUUAGGAUGAAGAGUCGAAACGUGAAGUCAGUAAACAAUCUUGAAUUAAAGUGUCGACCACUUGGUCUCUAGGACGUCGAACACAUGAAGAAGUAGCAAAUCUGAAAUUGAAGUUUGAUACAUGGAACAGAGAACCACGUUUGAAAAAACUAAUGAUCAAGAAGUUGAUACAUGAUUUUUAAGGUCGACACAUAUAGACAAUAGUAUUAAACACUAAAGAGACAAAGAUCUAUAUUCCUUUUGUCUUAAAGAGCUGAGUCAUCCAUCAUAAUUUACUCUGAAGAGAGGAAUUGUUUUCAACUUGUGUAACCUUCAUACACUUGUAAAUUGUAAGUUUGAGUGUAGUUUGUUGAACAAAACAAAAUUGGUGAGAGUUUGAGUUGUGUUCUCUUAUGUAAACAAAAUACUUGUAAGUUUAAGUGGAGUUUGAACAACAAAUCACUUGUGUAAAAAGUGAAUUGAGAUUGGUUAAUCAGCCCACACUUGUAAUUAUUGAUUGCAAUAGUGAAAAUAAGACGUUGCAGAGGUAUUAGGAGGUGUAGAUCAUACUUGUUGUUGAAUCUCGUAAAUUUGGUGUGUUUAUUUUCUCAUAAUUGACUUUGUUAACUGUUAUAUAUUUAUUGCCAUGCAUAUAAAUUGAGCCACCAUUUAAAAAUUGUUUGUUUUUUUUUUGAUAAGAUUAAUUUUUAAUUAAUCAUAAUGUAAUUAAUUUUAAAAAACUAAUUCAUUUCCCCCUAUUAGGUGCUUUUUUGGCCAACAAAAGGCAACUUACGUUAACGUUAUAGAAAAAUAUUCAAAUUCAAUUUUUUUUUAUCUCACAAUCAACAUAAGAGAGAGGAAGAGAGAAAGAUUUAGAGAUUGAAUAAGAUAAACGACAAAUUUGAAAUUAUAUUUUCUAUGCGUUAACCAUGGUUUUGCCCUUGAAUUCGUGGCGGGUCAACAGGUGGUAGCCUUGAUGGCAAUUUUCAUCUCUAUGUAGACGAAACUUUAGAUGUCGGGUUUAAUUGCAAUGCUUUUUAAUAUAAUUGAGGGCACAAAGUGGAAAAUUAUUAGUCGUAGUUAGGAGGACAAAGUGGAAAAUUACUCAAUACUUUGCGGGGGAAAAUUGCAGUUUACCAAAAUUAUAUUAUUCCUUUGAUAAAUUUAAAGAAAUGAUUGCAGCUCUCUAUAAUCAUUUUUUUUUUUCAAAGAAGAUACCCAAUUAACCCCAAUAUGAUUGCCAUACCAAAUGGAGAAUCAGUUCAAUGACCCCGGACCCUAUCCCAGUCCAAGCUCCUCUCUUCUCAUCUCUACCACGCAAGAGAAGUCGAAAAAUCCCCAAUCCCACCAACCAAUUUAUAUGCAACACCCUGAGAAAAAGAAAAACACCAAUUCAUGAAGAGACCAAGACCCAUCUCACCACCAAUACCCUUCGCCACCGCCACCUCCACCGCCACCGCCCACCGCAACCGCCCACCCACCAUCAACCCUCCACCCCACAAACCCUCCUCAAAAAACCCUCAAACCCCACUCAAAAAUCCCAAAAAAACCCAGAAAUAUCUCACUAAUCCAACCCAACCCACCUCCCAAAAUCUUCCCUCCCCUCCCCACCCCUCAAAUGGGUACCCCUCAAUUUGCCCAAAUCAGAGCUCUUCUGCCCCUCACCUUCCCCACAGCCAAACCUUCAGGUGGAAACAAACAGGGCCUUAAUCCGACACAGGCGUAUUGGGUUCUCAUUUGGUUCUCCUCAAACAGCUUCAAAUGGUGAUGUUACUUAUUUCUUUCAUACACAGUCUAGGUCUAGUGCUAGGUUGCCUUAUUGGAUUUUUAUGCAAAGAUGGGGGUAUUUGUUUGGAUGAAUUGAUGGGGAAGGGGGGGGGGUUUUUCGGCUCUGAUCCGAGGUUUGCCGAAUUGGUGAGCGCAUUUGGGCGGUUUGGCAGAGUGCUGAGGCAAGACCCACUUGAGUGCCUCAUUCAGUUUAUUUGUUUAAUUAAUAAAUAUUGUUAGGAUACCCGAAUGGUCGAUUUUGUUCUUCAUUGGGAAGUGUUUAGGGUCAGUUGAAGGGGUUGAAUUCCACGAAUUCAAGUCAUUGGACCGAUGUCACGGGUUUAGAGGGAGAGACUUAGCAGAGGCGGGUUUCGGUUACAGGUUGUUUGAUUAUGCUCCUGUCUAAAGAUAUGCUGCUUUGAUGUUACAUCAUUCCGUCUUUUUUUUUUGUUUUCUUUUUCUCUUCUUUUUGAAAAUUGUUGGAUUCUGUAUUCGUAGACUGCUGUAAAAUGCCAUAAAAGAACUGCUAUUACAGUAAACAGCACUUGGAUUCAACUUCAUGAGAAUCAAGAUAUUGAUUUUUAAAUAGCCAAAACGUCCAUUGUUUGCCAUGUAGUAGGCGUAAAUUGAUAUAAUGAGGAUGCAGAGGCGUGAUGAAGGGACUAGUGUUCCGUAGACGAUAUUGUUGCAAAAUAUGCUACUUUUUCAGGUUGAAAGCCUAUUAUGUGCUAAGAGAGUGAUGCCUAUUGAGCUAUGGCUAUCGUAUGGCGGGGACCAUUUGUUUUUCUGUAAUAAAAAAAGCUCUCGCUACAAAUUAGAGCGUUCCUUCUGAUAUGCCCUUUGAGAGGCUGUUGCGGAAUUUGUAGUGAUUGCAAUAGAGUGACUGUUAUUUACUAAACGUAAAACACUGAAUAUUUAAAGUUUUAGUUUGGUAAAGGACAAGUCUUAAGUUAGUGAUUAGCCAAGUUCAAAUGUAUUUUAGCUUUGCUGUUGCGCAGCAUUGGUGCCUAGGAAAAACAUGAUACCACGUACAACUUUGGCUUAAGUUGGUUUGCUGGUUUUAUAGAAACAUCAAUUUUAUGUUGGCCUCACAACAUGGGAAACUGACUUGGUACGUGGUAAGAGAAUCACACCAACCUCACUAAUAUGAGCAAAUUUAUACACAAAAACCACCA
rnacentral:lncRNA from 1 species